UUGUCACAAUUAAUUAAAAUACAUGUGUAUGCCUUUUUAGAUAAAUUCCAUCAGACCAGUUUCUGUCUGGUUGGAAAAUAAUAACUGCCUAUUUGCUAAGUGCCCCUGCCCUAGUACAAACUUAAAAAGAGAAAGUAAAAGUCAAAUGCUUCUACGACUUCAGACUAAGAAAAAGAACUUUUGAGGUUGAAUGUUCCUGAAAUUUUUCUUUUCAUGCAACUACGGACAUGACUUCAAAAGUUGAUGUUACUAAAAAUGUAAGAUAUGAAAGAUAUUUGAAGACUCAGAGAAGGUGGAUUUUCAUUUUAACAAGUCACAUAUAUAUUCUAGAUAUCCUCUUAUUCGUAACUAAGAGAGUCAAAUCAGAUGAAAGAAUCUAAAAAUUUCCCUUUGACUGUGUUAAGUAGAAGUAGUAGAGGCAUAUUGGCCAAAUCUUGAGUGUUUGCAAAUUGACUCUUAAGGCUAUAGGCUGGCACAGGUCAUUGAAGCCCUAGCUUUUUAUCUUUAAUUUUAAAAUCCCCAAACAAU
rnacentral:lncRNA from 1 species